UACGUAGGGUGCGAGCGUUGUCCGGAAUUACUGGGCGUAAAGAGCUCGUAGGUGGUUUGUCGCGUUGUUCGUGAAAACUCACAGCUUAACUGUGGGCGUGCGGGCGAUACGGGCAGACUGGAGUACUGCAGGGGAGACUGGAAUUCCUGGUGUAGCGGUGGAAUGCGCAGAUAUCAGGAGGAACACCGGUGGCGAAGGCGGGUCUCUGGGCAGUAACUUACGCUGAGGAGCGAAAGCGUGGGGAGCGAACAGG
rnacentral:rRNA from 1 species